rnacentral:rRNA from 1 species
UGGGGAAUAUUGGACAAUGGGGGGAACCCUGAUCCAGCCAUGCCGCGUGUGUGAAGAAGGCCUUAUGGUUGUAAAGCACUUUAAGCGAGGAGGAGGGUACUGGUAUUAAUACUACCAGGUACUGGACGUUACUCGCAGAAUAAGCACCGGCUAACUCUGUGCCAGCAGCCGCGGUAAUACAGAGGGUGUGAGCGUUAAUCGGAUUUACUGGGCGUAAAGCGUGCGUAGGCGGCUAAUUGAGUCGGAUGUGAAAUCCCCGAGCUUAACUUGGGAAUUGCAUUCGAUACUGGUUAGCUAGAGUGUGGGAGAGGAUGGUAGAAUUCCAGGUGUAGCGGUGAAAUGCGUAGAGAUCUGGAGGAAUACCGAUGGCGAAGGCAGCCAUCUGGCCUAACACUGACGCUGAGGUACGAAAGCAUGGGGAGCAAACAGG